rnacentral:rRNA from 1 species
UACGUAGGGUGCGAGCGUUGUCCGGAUUUAUUGGGCGUAAAGCGCGUGUAGGCGGUCCGGUAAGUCCGCUGUGAAAGUCGGGGGCUCAACCCUCGAAUGCCGGUGGAUACUGCCGGGCUAGAGGACGGUAGAGGCGAGUGGAAUUCCCGGUGUAGCGGUGAAAUGCGCAGAUAUCGGGAGGAACACCAGUAGCGAAGGCGGCUCGCUGGGCCGUUCCUGACGCUGAGACGCGAAAGCUAGGGGAGCGAACAGG